AAAGAGCUGGAGCUCCACACAGAGAAACUUCUCAGCAUUUUUGAUAAAAAGAGCCGUAGCGUUCUCAGUACCUUCCCUGUGGUCUGCAGGGGGAUAAACCUCUCAAAACAAUAGGAGAGAUCGGGAGCAGAACGCGCCAGCCUUCCCACCUGCCCAGCACCCCGCAGUAUUUUCCCAGAUCCUGUAAAAUCGACGGAAGGCUUCCAUCCCCUGAACCUGAGCCCUGGGAUUUCAAUGUGCUGAGUCACAGUCUUCUCAGGGCCAGACACUUUCACCCAGGAAAAGCCCCGUAGAGCACCACGGCGGGAGCAGCGAGCUGGUACGGUGUAAUUUGAAUAUGAACGAGAAGCCUGGAGAGGAGUCUUAUGAAAUGCUAUCGACCAGAACUGAAGCAACAAAAGGAGAAGAAGAGAAGUAUUUGCCCCAGAGGAGACCCUGAGUUGAUUAACCCCAAGGCUAAUUAAAUUAAGUUUUUCAAGUUCAUGGGAGUUUGGAGGCCAUGAACCUAACGGCUGAUCUGUCUGGAAAACUAUCUGUCAAUAAAGAUGAUAAGAAGUAUUAGGAUUCCACUUCUGUGCCACCAUGUCUGCUUUAUGCAGGGCUGAAGAUCAUAUGCAGGACGCUGUGUGCUAGGUAAAGCACGACUUAAUCGCGUAGUGAAGCAACAUUCAUUCAGAAAUUCUACCCAGACCCAGGACGGGGGUGGAGGGUAGAGCUCAGUGGUAGAACGCUUGUCAAGCAUGCAUCUGUAGUGAGUUUGAUCCCCACCACUAAUAACAACAACAACAAAACCCAACAGCAACAGCAUUUAUAUUUGUUUGCUUUGUUUUCUCCCUUAGAGUGCUGUGUAUUUCAUGUGGUUACUUUUGCCAUAACUAAAUAUUGUAUUCUCUGAAGGC